rfam:Myotis brandtii contig173821, whole genome shotgun sequence.
GGCAGUUCUCAGGUGACGUACCCCAGAAUUGAACUCCCUUCUCUCUGGUUCCAGGUGUGUGCAUCACCCCAGAACCGCA